rnacentral:rRNA from 1 species
UGGCAGGUCAGCAUACUGCCGUGAAUACGUUCCCGGGCCUUGUACACACCGCCCGUCACACCAUGAGAGUCGGAACACCCGAAGUCCGUAGCCUAACCGCAAGGAGGGCGCGGCCGAAGGUGGGUUCGAUAAUUGGGGUGAAGUCGUAACAAGGUACC